UACAGGAUCAUGGCAGAGACGCAGGGAAGAGAGACAGGGGGAAGCAAUGGAAGGAAACAUAUUCAGAGAGGGGCGGAGACAGUGCCUCAGAGCGAGACUAAGGACAGUGAGGGCCUUGACAGAAUUACAAGAAAAGAGAUGGAAAACUAGAAAGAGUAGGAGGAGCAUUGCUCAGAGAGAGGAGGGUAUGGAUGGGGACACAGAUGAGUGGGGAGAUCAGAGACCUGAAGAUAGACAGAGAGACCCAGAGUGAGGGAGAAAGGGGCUGACAGAGAGGUGGCCAGGGACCUAGAGAGAGACAGUGAUCCAGAGGUAGGACAGGUUGGAGUAGAGACUGACAGGGAGAAACAGAUCCAGGGUGGUGUGACAGAGACAGAGACCUAGAGAGAAAGAUAAGGAAAGACUAGAGAGAGGGAGGGACAGAUAUCCAGACUGGGGCUUAGAGCUGGGAAUAGAAACCCAGAGAGAGAAAGUAUUCUCUCUCCAGAGAGGGCACCUAGACCCUGGGGUGGGGGUGGGGUGAAUACUUUCAGCCACGAGUCAGACAUAGAAAGUACCCGGCACCAGAUGUGUGCCACAGUGCUUCCUCAGCCUGCUUCUCGUCCACCCUCAGACUAUGAUGAGCGGAGCCACCUGCAUGAUGCAUUUACACAGAUGACCCUCUCCCUCCAGGAGGUGGCUGCAGCUCAUGGGUCCUUUAAGGCUGCGUUCCCUAGUGCUGCAGCAAAAAUGAAGAGGACCAUUCAUCACCUUAAAAAAGUCCAGGACUGCAUCCUCCCUUGUGGCGUCCAGGAGGCCACUAGGCGUUUCCACUGCUGGGGCUGCUUCUCCACAGUCUGUGACCUCCCUCUAGACUGUCCAGGUGAGGGGGCGGCGCCGGGAUGCCAGGGAAAGGGCGAGGCUUGUGCAGGCCUACCAGGAUCACCUUGCCUCUCUCCAGUUCAGGACGUGACGGUGAAGCGAGGGGAUCAGGCUUUGUUUUCUUGUAUCGUGGGCUUCCAAUUGCCAGAAUCGGAGCUCACUUACUCCUGGAAAUUCGCGGCAGGAGGUCUCCGGACUCAGGACGUGUCCUACUUCCGUGAUGUGCCAGGCGCCCACGGGUACCUGGCGCGAAUCCGGCCAGUGCAACCCACGCACCGGGGGACCUUCUCCUGCGUGAUCCUGCACGACCAGCGCCCCCUGGCGCGGCUCUACUUCUAUCUGAACGUGACUGGCCCUCCUCCUCCUGGGGAGACUGAGCUCCAGGUCACGUUCCGGGAAGUGAUGAAUUGGACACCGCGGGAGGCGGAAACAAUCGAGCCCUGGAGGCCCAGCCUAGGCGAACUGCUUGCCAGGCCCUCGGCUCUGACGCUUGGCAACCUGUUCCUGAUCGCGGCUACCGCUGCAUUCGUGUCUGCUAGUGUCACUGUGCUAGUGUGGAGCAAUGUGACCAGCUUUCUCAAGCUCCUGAAUCCAUUCUUUCCCUAUCAUGAUGGACUGCACCCUCAAACUAGACAAGAUCUCCUGUAGCCCAGCCUGUCCUACAAGUAGCCAAGGAUGACUUGAACUUCUGAUCCUACUGUCUCAACGUCUGGAGUGCUGGGAUGACAGGCACGCAGCCCAGUUCGUGCAGUGCUGGAGGUAGAGCAAUGCUAGGCACCUGUGCUGCCCACUGAGCUAUAUUUCCAGUCCCAGACAGGGUUGCAUGAAGCCUGGGCUGGUUUUAGCUUCACUACAUGGCUGAGAAUGACACUGAAUUUCUGAUCCUUCUUCCUCUGCCUUCUGAGUGAUAACAUGACAGAGGUAGGCUACCACAUUCAGUUUAUUUGGUGCAGGGGAUUGAACCUAGGCUUUGUGUGUGCUGAGCAAGCACUCUACCAGCUGAGCUACAUCCCAAGUCCCUAAAACAAUCACGUUUCAAAAUAUUUGUUUGUUUGUUUGUUUAGUUAUUUUUUAUUUGUGCGUAUGUGCAUGCACACAUGCCAUGGUGCGUGUGUGUGGCAGUCAGGGCAACUUUUAGGAGUUAAUUCUCUCCUUCCACCCUGUUGGGGAGCAAACUCAGGUAAUCAAGCUUAGCAGCAAGCACCUUUGCUCUUUGAGCCAGGUUGCCAGCCCCAAAGAACCAUAUUUUUAAAUGUACAGUAGUGGUCAGUACACAGAUUUCACUUCUACUUGCAAACCAAUAUCUUUUCACAUUUGCAAAUUGUUUUAAGCUGAAAGUGAAACAAAAAUAUUUUGUGGAGCAUGAAAGUUACUUACAGUUCAAACCCCAGUGUUCUUCACAUUGCACCCAUUAUCUAUGCUGAGUCUGCUGUAGCAUACCAAGACUGAGUAGUUCUGGCAGAGAACGCAAUGUCUUCUAGUCCUCAAGUGUUUACUGUUUGGUGUCUGGUAGAAAAGUUUACAGUCUUCUCACACAGUGGGUCAAAGCAAAUAAAUUACCAAAAUUAAUUUCAUUUAAAAAUUACACUUAUUUGUUUAUUUUGUGUGUGGGCAUAUGCAUGUCACAGAGCAUUUGCCCCAGUGUAUGUGUGUGUGUGUGUGUGUGUGUGUGUGUGUGUGUGUGUGUGUGUGUGUGUGUGUGUGUGUGUGUGUGUAGGUUGGGGGAUAGUUAUGGGACUAGGUUCUUUCUUCCCAGUAUUUGGGUCUCAGAGACCAAACUCAGAUUAUUAGGCUUAGUGCAAGCACCUUUACCCCCAGAGCCAUCUUGUAGGACCCACUUUACUUUUAAAAGAGGAUUUAAAAAUUAUGUGGUAAUUCACGUUAUGUUUCUGAACAGUAGAGGUGAGUUAGGGAUUUGGGGGAUUUUAAAAGAACAUGCAGGGUUUCCCUGUGUUGCCCAGACUGGCCUCAAAUUCCUAGACUCAAGCAUCCUCCAGUCUCAGACUCCAAAGUAUUUGGGACCUCGAGUACAUGGUACCAAAUUUGAGAAAGAACUUUUAAGUACUCAGUAACAAUUAUUCUUUCUUUCAGACCCCUUCAUUACUGUCUUUUUGCCUCAAAUACAGCUCUGCCUGGGCUCCUGGGGUGGCUCAGAUUAUGAGGAAGUUAUGGACACCUCCACCUACAGCUGUACUCGCAACAUUAAGAACCACACAGACUGAAAACACCCAUGUUCCACAAGACGACCUCAUAUACCCUGUCUCAGGCUGAGCAUGGCGUCCUGUGACCUCCCACUGAUGGUCAUGCAGGGGACCUGAGGACACAAGCCCUCAGUGUCAGGAAGAAACAAUAUCAAGAUGAUAAAAAAUAUGCCAAUAGCCACACAGACAGCCACCAAGGGACUGGGAUAAAGGAACAGAAGUAGAAGGUUUCAGAAGAAAUAGUCAACAGUUAAAAUCAGUGGUUCUCAACCUUCCUAAUGCUGCCAUCCUUUAAUUCAGUUCCUCAUGUUGUGGUGACUCCCAAACAUAAAAUUAUUUUAGUUGCUACUUUAUAACUUAGUUUGCUACUGUUAUGAAUAGUAAUGUAAAUAUCUGAUAGGCAGGAUGUAUCUUCAUUGUUACAAAUUGAUAAAAGUGGUCAUGACCCACAAGUUGAGAACCGCUGGUUCAAAUAGACCCCAGCCAUAUGAAAUUGCUCUUUUUACAGGUCAAGAGAGGUUGAAUAUUGGUGAAUGCAUGUAGUUCAGCUAAGUAGAUUCUGAACCCAUAAAAGUGAAACCGAAAUGCAUACAUCAUUUACAUGCAAAGUCUUCUUUGGGAAUACCAACACACAUUUAUAGAAUCACAGACAUGUAUGGAUGACAAACCAUAUAGCAAUGAACAUAGAGAAGGAAACUCACUCCACCUUACAAGCUCACUGAACACAUACAGUUGCUGUCACAAGUAGAUACACACGUACACGAACUCCUUCUCAAUAGUCCCCAAUACACAUGGUCUCACAUAUGGUAGUAAUUACCCUUUAUGGCAGCAGAAAAUACACACACACACACACACACACACACACACACACACACACACACACACGCACACACGCACACACGCACACACGUACAUACAUGUCUCAUGGCUGUGGGUCCUGCUGGAUUCUCUCCUCUCCGGCUUGCUCUGCAAUCCGUGUGUGUCUGGAGCUAGCUGGAGGGGGGCCAUUUGAAGACCAGCAAAUGCGGGGGUGGAGGAGAGCUGACGUCAGAGAACUAGCCUGUCCAGGGGCUCUGAGGUCACACAAUCCCAUGACUCCACCCUCUUCGAUUCCCGACAUUGCCCCCAUCCCCCUCGCCAGAUAGGACCUCCCUUCACAGCCCCUCAAGCUGGUCCUUCACUCCCCCUUUUCUUCCAGCCCUUCCUCUCUCUUUUCUCUUUCUCCCCUUUUCUCUUGCGUUAAGUUCACUUUACCUUUCAUUUGUUCCGUCUGUAUAUUUCUUUCCAACUUUCCCCCAUUUCUGUCUUUCGCAUCUCCCUCAGCUGCUUCUCUUGUGUUUUGUCUGUAUUUCUGUCUCCAUCUCGCCCCAUUUGUCGUAUUACUUUCUAUCACCCACUCUGACUCACUCCCCCCCCCCCUCGCUUCUUACUUCUUCCUCACUUACUCAUCAUCUCCCCAGACUCUCUACAAUGGGUCCUGCAGGAACAUAUAUCAGCAACUGGCAGAUAGAUAAAGUGCACACACGAGCAUGUCUGUGGGUGUGACUGUGUUGCUGGCAUGUGUUUUCACAGCAGCCUGGAGCUACAGCCAGAAUUGCCUGCUUUUUGCUGGGCUGGUGUCUGUCUAUUGUGUGUCUGUGGGGUGUGUGUGUGUACAUACAUGUGUCCAUGUCAAGAUCUGGCUGGGGCUAAGGACUGGAAUACUGGGAUCUGUCUUCUGAAGGAUUUCAGUGACUUCAGGGAAUGGCCUCAGCUCAGUGUUCUGAUACACAUCCCUGAGACUGGGUCAGAACAUAGCUGGGAAGAGAUGGGGUCCCAGGGUGUGUGUACCCCAGCUCCUUGGGGCCAGAAGGCCAGUGAUCCCUGCCACUAUUUUAUAUUCUUUUUAUAAGGGUUUUUGUUGUUGUUAGCUCUAAGACUAUCUUUCUCAAAGUUCCUCUCACUGUGAACUUAUGGUGGGUAGUGUCCAGUAACUGUCUGUUCCUACAUCCUUCUGUGUGGUAGAUGCUGACAAUUAUAUUCUUUCUUUCUCUUUGUCUCCCUUGUUCUCGUGCUCUCUCAUUGUGCUUGACCCCCUGACUCUGUUUGUCUACCCAUCUGUAUUCCCAUUUCUUCCAAUCCUCCUCCACGUCUCCCUCUCUCAUGUCUAUUUCUAAUUACCACCUCUCACCUAUCUGUCUGUCAUCUAUCAUCUUCUGCUGACCUGCCAUCUCUGGAUCUAUCAUCUAUCUAUUCCUCUGUCCCUCUAUGUCUUUAACUAACAUCUGCCUACCUGCCUGUCUCUUUGUGAGACUCUCUCACUCUCCUCUCCCCCUCUGACUUUUUAUGUCUCUCUGUUUUUCCUUUCUCCUGCGGCUUCGUCAUCUCUCCUAGCCAUUCGGGACUCCUCCUGAACAGAGCCAGGUUCUCACAUCCAGGGUGUGGGAACCUCGCUAGACACGGUGUAGGGGCAGUGCCAGGUUGAAUCUUUGUUUGAGCCUGGCCACUGAGAAGGUCCCUGGUGGUGGGAACCUGGGCACCACCCACCCAUCAGGGCAGGGAAAGCUGUGUCUGACGCUAUUGCCGGGAGCCUCUGAUGCUUAGUGUCUGGCUGUGUCAGGAUGAUGGAUCCAUUGAUGGAGUCAAGCCCAGAGCAGGGGAUAUGAGGAGUUCCUGUGGCUAGAAAGGGAUAACCCAAGCUCCACCCAAGGAGCUGGGCAUUUGACUAGCCUGAACACCGCCCUGACUGGGUGGAGCAGCUGUAUAAAACCAGAUGUUUCUAAAACCAGAGUGUGCAUGAGAGAAAGACCAGGAUUUCAAACCCUGGGAGUUUUCUCUGCCAGGACACUAGAGACCUGGCCACAGCCCAGACUCCUCCUUUAGACCCAGGUGUCCAGGCCUCAGUCCCUUGUUAGAUCCAGGGGUACGGACCCUAGCUCCCCUUCCUUGGACCCCAGACCCCAGACCCCAGCCUUCCUCCGUUAGACCCAGGUGUCCAAGCCAAAGCACUUCCCCCUCAGACCCAGAAGUCCAGUGUACUCUCCUUUAGACUCAGGAGUCUGGAAAUCAGCUUUCCUCUCUCAGAAAAGGAGUACAGGCCUAACCCUCGUCCCUCAGACACAGAGGUCUAGUUUCCCAUAAUUCAGUGCAAGCACAGAUGAUCAGGACAGAAUGUAUCAAAGACAAGAUGACAAAGACAGAUGAAGCUGAGCACUCUUUCCCAGUUCCCUCCCCUCUAAUGGUAGCUUAUAACUGGUUCCUGCCUAGUCCACAGUGUCCUUUCUUCUCCAGAUGGGGGCUGUCAUUUAACUUCAAGAUGAGAAGACGGGGAAAGGUAGGGGUGGUAGUCAUAAAUGGAGAAGAAACAGAGGAAAAACAUAUAUUCAUUACAGGGACACCUCUUGAGCUGCUGAUGGGUGGGACCCUAGACUAAGUGAUGGCAGGCACACACAAAUGACUCAGCAGGGGGCCCUGUCUCUGAGAAGACAGCUGUGUAAAUAGAGGACUGGGCACUGAUGGAGUAAUAGUUCCACCCAACUGAAAGGCAGGAAGGGCUUCCUGGAGAAGGUGGUCCUAACUGAUGAGGACAUAGUGGAGUGGAAAGUAAAGGAGAGAAAAGGUACCCAAGGAAAGACAUGGUGUGGCCAGUUUACAAAUCACACGCUGACUGAGUGGUGCUGUGGAAGCACGAAGUAGUUGAGAAGUAAUGAGGUACAUGAAGGUAAGAUUGCUCUAAAAAUAGUUUUGGGGGAUGGACAGAUGACUCAGUAGUUAAGAGUGCUUGAUGCUCUUGCAGAGGACCUGGGUUGGGGCCCCAGGACUCAGGUCCGGUGGCUUACAACCACCUGUAACUCCAGCUCUAGCGUAUCUGGUGGCUUCUUCUGGCCUCUGUGGACACCUGUACACAUGCAACAUACACAUAAAAAUAAAAUAAAUCUUUUAUAAAGUGGGGGUAUGGAUGGCUGUAGAGAUGACUCAGUGGUAAGAGUACUUGAUACUUUUUUUUUUUUUGGUUUUUCGAGACAGGGUUUCUCUGUGUAGCUUUGCGCCUUUUCAUGGAACUCACUUGGUAGCCCAGGCUGGCCUCGAACUCACAGAGAUCCGCCUGGCUCUGCCUCCCGAGUGCUGGGAUUAAAGGCGUGCGCCACCACCGCCCGGCAAGUACUUGAUACUUUUGCAAAGGACCUGGGUUCAGUUUCCAGCACUCCCAUGGUAGCUCACAAUUGCCUGUGACUCCCGGUACAGUGGAUCUAUGCCCUCUUCUGAAUCUCUGUGGGCACUGCAUAUACAUGAUGCACAGCCAUAUAUGCAAGCCAAAUACUUUAUACAUAAUAAAUCUUUAAAAAUGACUUUUAGAUUGAAAUGCAAAAUUAUAUAUUCAGGAUGAGGAUGUAGCUCAGUUGCGGAGUGAUUGCAUUUAGACUGUGUGUUUGAUACAUAACACACCCUGGGCAUGGUGUUGUAUGUUUGCAAUGUCAGCACUUGGGAAGUAGAGGCAGGAAGCUCAGAAGUUCAUGGCCAUCUUAGACUACAAAGGAAAUUUGAGGCUGUCAUGGGCUAUAUCAGAGCCUGUCUCAAAAUAAACAAGUAGGGACAGAUGGGAUAAUUCAGUGCAUAAAGACAUUUGCUACUAUGUCUGAAAACCUGAGUUCAUUCUUCAGAACCCACAUGGUGGGAGGAGAGAACAGACUUCUGCAACUUGUCCUCUGACCUCCAUGUGCAAAUCAUGGCAUUCAGCUCCUAAAAUAAAUGUAAUAAAACUUUGAAAAAGGUUUAAAUUGUAUAUUAGUAAAGUCAAGGAUACGACAUCAUUUCUUUAUGACAAAAUCAAGCUAUUAUAGCAUGUGCAAUAUACAGAGUUUUGAAUGCCAGACUCAAGGGCUAACUAACUAGAGAACUACAAGAGAACUGGGAGCUGUGGAGAUAAAGGAUCAGCUCUAGGUCUAUGUGAUCUACUAAGUAGGUAGAGAGACAAGGGAUUCUUGGUCAGGUAACUCAGUGGGUGGCUAUGUCAGAGAUUCCAGAAUUUCCUUCAGGCUAGGGGUUGUUGGCUGAACAUGAGCUUUGAAAGAGUUGAAGGUUUGGAACUGGUGGGACACCAAGGAAGUGUGAGUGAGUAUGGCAGAGCUGCUGGAUAUAAUCCUUUGAGGAGUGGGGACUGAGAGGUGGCUCAGACACAGCCUCAAAUGAAUGGAACCCUUCAUCAAAGCUCAUCCAUGCUACUCUGGCUGCCCCACUCCCUGCCCAUUUUGUCAAACACUGUUCUCAAAUAACAUAGGCCCCCCCCCUUAUCUGGUUUCUCUUUAUGAGGUUGCAGUUAGCUUCAUCAAUCAAAGUCCAAAAAUACCAAAUGGAAAAAUCCUGGGAAUAAACAAUUUGUAAUUUUAAAAACCUAUUUUUAUUUUAUUAUUUUGUAUGCAUAGGUGACUUGACUGUCUGCCUGUCUAGGAAUCAAAUCCAGGUCCUCUGUGAGAGCACCCAGUGUUCUUAACCACUGAGCCAUCUCUCCAGGCCAACAAGCCACACAAGAAAACAAUAAUUUUUUUAAAUUAUAAAAUAAUAGCAUCAUUCUGGCCUCCCUCUCCUCCCUCUAAUGUUGCCAUAGUCCACCUCAAAUUCAUGACCUCUUUUUCUUUAAUUAUCAUUGUUAAAUAUGUGUAUAAUGAAUUUAUGUUUAUAAUAUAUUAUAAAUAUAUAUUUUAAUAAAUAUAAUAAGUAUUAUAUAUCAUAUAACUAUAUAAUGAGCAUAAUAUAUUAUACUAUAUUAUAACAUAAUAUAAGAAAAAUAUAUAUAUAUAAAACCUGCUGGGUUCAAUUGUGUGUUAUUCCUAAGCAGCACAAUGAAAUCUAAUGCUCUCCUGUUUGUCUUGUCCUGGAUGUGAAUCUUCCUUUGGCCCAGGAUAUGCAUGCUGCAUAUGUGACCAGCCCCUUAGUAACUUAGUCAUUUAUUUAUAGGAUUCAGUAUUGCCAUAUAUUGUAUUUGAAUUCCAAUGUUCUUAUUUUACUUAAAAGUUCACCUUUGACCAUUUCUCUUUUUGGCUAAGAUCACACAACAACGGCAACUCGGGUGUACUAAAAAGAAAUCAUUCAGUGCAAGGUUCUUAGUUUGUGUGUAGAACUGGGUGCUAUGUAUAGUUUCAGGCAUUCAAUAAGGGUCUUGAAAAAUAUGAUCCUUGAGGCUGGGCGGUGGUGGCGCACGCCUUUAAUCUCAGCCAGACAGUUCUCUGUGAGUUUGAGGCCAGCCUGGGCUACAGAGUGAGUUCCAGGGAAGUUGCAAAGGUACACAGAGAAACCCUGUCUCAAAAAACAAAAAAAGGGGCUGGAGAGAUGGCUCAGCGGUUAAGAGCACUGACUGUUCUUCCAGAGGUCCUGAGUUCAAUCCCAGCAACCACAUGGUGGCUCACAACCAUCUGUAAUGAGAUCUGGCGCCCUCUUCUGACCUGCAGGCAGACAUGCAGACAGAAUGCUGUCUACAUAAUAAAUAAAUAAAAAAAAAGAAAAAAAAAAGAAAAAUAUGGUCCUUGAAUAACUGAGGGGGGGAUUUUGUUGGUGUUUUGAGGGAGGGUCUCUCAUGAAUGAAAAAAAAGAAAUAAGAAAGGAACAUGACUACCCCUAGGUAUGGUGGAGGAGAAAGUCUGUUGUGGAUAAAAGGGAAACAGACAUAGUCAGAGGCAAGGACAUCUGGGAGAGUCCAGAGUGGAUAUGACCCUGAGCCACGUAAGGAGAGAGGGGAGGGGAAGGGAGAAGGGGGAGAAAGAGGAACAAGGUGUAGCAAAAGAGAGGCCCAAAAGAGAGUAGACAAAAUGACCAGGUAACCAAAACAGAUUAUAUAGAGAAGGGCAGCUGGGGGAAGGGCAGACCAGCCUCUGGGCUGCAAAGUUUAGUGGGGGGGAGGAGGGGUAUGCCAGCCAGGAGGGUCCUGCAACAGGUAGGUGCUGAGGGAAGCUGGGAGAACCUGGCAGCCAGGUCUGCUUUGAUAUGUUAAGUAGGCACCUCAGCCCAUUGUCCUGGGUUUAAACCUAACAUCUCUGAACCCAGGUUAGGUUCUAACUUUCUGUAUAGCUGAGAAUGACAUUGAGUUACGGAUCCUCAUGCCUGCACUUCUCAAGUGCUAGGACUGCAGACAUAUGAUACCAUGACUGACUUGUGCAGUGCAGGGGAGGGAAUCCAGAGUUUUGUGCGUGCUAAGCAAGCACCCCAACUGAACUACAGCCCCAGGUUACUGUAAGAGAUGUUUGAACUUCCUUCCUGGAGAAUUAAGGAGGGUAAAUGACCACUGAAAAGUUAACUUGGAGAAAUCGGCAUUUUCUUAAAUGUGUCUGUUGAGCUAGGUGGUGGUUGCUCACUCUAUGAAGUGUUCUGGCUUGGAAAGGAAAUACUUUGAAGAAAUCCAGAUACUUGAGAGACAAAGGAGAGAUGGAGGGCAGAAUCACUCCCAGGACCAUGUGUUUGUACAGUUGGUAACCAGCUAGUGGCGCUGUUUUAAAGGUUGAGGAGCUGUCAUGGAGUGUGAUAGUUUGGGGGCGGGGAGGGGAUAUCUCUCAGUUCUUGACAACUGCUCAGUCAAGUGACAUAGUUAGAGCAAAGGUUUAUUUUGCAAAGCUAAACAAAGCAGCAAAUAAACAAACUAUAGAGGGAGACUGAACUGGACUACCUGAAGGAGGAGGAGUAGUUCAGAGGGUCCUAUGUUGCAGAUUUUAAAGAAAUUGUAAGGAAUAUUUAUGAGGUGUGUGACAUAUUCAUGGAAUUAAGUAACCCUUUUCUCUUUCUCGAAUUGUGGUGGACUGUGUUUCCUUUUUAAGGUAUUUCAUUCCAUGAUCCUCUAGAACAGUCCAAAAAAAAAAAAAAAAAAAAAAAAAGCAAAGAAACAAACCAAUAACAUCCAGCAUUCUAGUGAUAUAUAUCACAUCAGGUAAUUUAAGUGUGUUUUGAGUGUGUAGACCCUUGGAUACUGUACACGUGUUAGAGAAUUUCUAGGUGACUUAGUUUCUGAUAUAACAGAACAAUCUAGCUGCUUCCAGGAUGUUUAACCACAAAGAAGUUCUGACCACAGGGAGACAUACCUUUUCCCCCAGUUAACCUCACAUCCUAGUUUGCUUAGCGUGUCAACUUUACGCAGCCUACAGGUAUUUGAGAGGGGAGCUUCUAGGUCAUAUUAGCCUGUGGCCAUGUCUGACAGGCUCUUGACUGAUGAUGUAGGAGGGCCCAGCCACGUCAAGGCGCGUGACCCCAGGCUGUAGACUACAGCUUCAAGCAGCAUUCUCUCAUGGUUUCUUCCUUAUGCUCCUACUUGAGUUCUGUUAAUGAUCAAUGGUGACUUGAAAUUAUAAGCCAAAUGAAUCCUUUCCUCUCCCAUAUUGCUUCUGAUCAGUGUUUUACCACACAAAAGAAACCAGGACACCUCAUAUUGAACUCCUUGUCUACUCAGAAUUAGCAGACAGUGGGUAGGUGAAGGGCUUUGAGUGUUAGAAGCCAGGUCUCUCUUUCUGAUCCACCCUCUACUGAUCCACCAAAAUGUGAACAAACCAUCUCUUGAGCUCCUGCUGUCAUGGGUUGAGUCAUUCAACUCUCACACUUUUUUCACCAUUAUGGACCAUAGACCCUGAUUCUCUGUUUUCCCUUUCCCCCCACAGCAUUGAUCAGCUUUCUAUAUAAUGUAUAGACUCAAUUGCUGAGCAUCUUCUUUGGUGUCAUGAGGGCCUCUCUUGUUAGAAUGUAAGCUCUCCAUAGACAGUGGUCCUUAUCCAUUCUACACAUAUGUCUGCUCUUAGAGCCUAGGCCAGUUCCUGGGAUCAACAGGUGUUGAAUGAUUGAGUUUAGUCAGGAUGAAAAGUAAGAAUGGGGGAGAGGGGAAACAAAAGAGGAAGGGUAAAGUUUGUGCCUCUCUAAACUUCUAACCCUUAAGUAAUCAUUCUGUCUCCCUCUCUUCCUUCAAUCCUUCCUUCCAUCCUCUUUCUCUCUCUUCACUUUCUUUUUUUCUCUCUGCCCACCGCCCCUUCCCAUCUGACAUUGUCUCUCUGUGCAGCCCAGACUAGCCUUGAACUCACCCUGUAGCCCAGUUUACUCUCCAGCUUGCCUCUUCAUGUGGCCUAGGAAGUGCUAGAUUAAGGAAAUAAAGGGUGUGUGGGUUUCCCUAAUGCCUGCCCUUUCUGACUUGUGUUUGUCUAUUGAUCUGCCGCUGUCUUUAUUCUCAUACAUAUUCUCUCUCUCCUCUUUCUCUCUCCUCUCUCUCUCUCUCUCUCUCUCUCUCUCUCUCUCUCUCUCUCUCUCUCUCUCUCUCUCUCCCCCCAUGCCCCAACCCCCCACCGCUUCCCUCUGCUCUCUCUUGUCUUUCAUUGGCCUGCUGCACCACCUCUCCUGGGCUGUACUCCUUGUACUCCUGUAGCAGAGUCAAUUCCUCACACACUGGGAUUUCCCUGGGAGGCAGAAGAGAAGGGAGAGACAGGAUGGGGGAGGAGGGAUGACAGCAGAGAGGAAGGAAGGGGGAAAGGGACAGGAGGAGGAGGGGGCCCAGCAGCUGGGAGGCCCACACUCCACAGCUCUGUGGCUACCACUCAGUUGGGCAGGGUGUGUUACUCCCUUCUGGAGAAGUGGGACCUGAGGCAAGGAGUCCCCUGAUGGGCACAGAUCCCGGACAUGCAAGCAGUCUGACUUCCAGGAACGGGGGAGGGCUUAGAUCCUUAGGCUGCCAAUGGGGCCUCACUGAGCCAUUCCUCCCCCACACUCAAGAUUCCAGGAAACACCUAGACCUUCAGGAAAGAGUCCUAGGAAAAAACCCAAUGGAGGGAGUUUGGCUGCUUGCCUCUGGAAGGUAGCUGGCCCAGACAGAGGCUCCUGUGCCUAGACAUUCAUUCUCUAGGAAUUUUCGGAGGAAAGAGAACAGACAAGGGAAAGAAAGAGAACAGGGAAUUUCAUCAGACCUCUCUGUUUCUGCUCAGACAAGCAAGAGAGGAGGGAUCUUGGUUGCCAUAGAAAAGAACAACGAAGGCCCAGGAAAACUAGUAACCCAGCCAGACAGGAUGUGGGCUAGUUGGGCCAGGUGACCAAGCAGGUGUUGCGAAUUAGGUCUUUUUCUAUGUAGGAGACUGAGCCUGUACCUCUGUGUGUGAGGGAAGAAGGGACAAGGUCUGGACCCAUGACCUCAGGGAGGAGGCUGGGACCUGGACACUUGAGUCUGAGGGAGGAGAGAUGGGGCCUGGAUCUCUGGGUGUGAGGGAGGAGGACUAGAACUUGGACCUCCGUGUCUGUGGGAGGAGGGUUAGGGUCUGGACUUCUGGCCUGAAGGAAGAGGGCCUUGAUAUUGGAAAGAAAAGAAACCCUGGUUCCUUUUGAAAUUAUUUUUACUCUUUGCUUGUAAAAUUUUGUAUAUAUACUGGGGAUUUGUGCAUGCUUGCCAGGGCGCACAGGUGAAGGUCAGAGGAUGGUCUGCAGUAGCUAAUUCUCUGCUUUCACCACAUUGGCCCCAGGCAUCCUACUAGGGGAGUUACCAUUCCCUGGGCAUGUGAUUCUAGGCUGUACAAGAAAGCUAGCUGAACAUGAACCUGCCUGCUAGCAGCAUCCUUGUGGUUCCUGUCACACUAUAGUGGUCAAGUGAGCUUCUUAGUUGUAGGUAAUGCUGUGUGGUUAAGGUUGUAGCAUGCUUGCCUUCAAGUUCUUACCAUGAAUUCCCUAAGUGAUAGCCUGUGACCUGAAUUUGUAAGCCAAACAUACCCUUUUUCCCCUCAAAAUAGUUUUUGUCUGGGUGUCUUUCACAGCAACAGAAAUGAAAUUAGACUUAUUGUCUGUCUGCAGGGCUCCCUCUUCCCAAUGGACCAUUACCUUGUUGCUUAGGAUUCCCACAAACCCUGGUUGUAUCAUAGUUGCUUGCAUUUGUUAUUUGAAAGGCUCAUUCCCCAGAACCUCUCUUUCAUCAUCUAUAAAAUGAGAUUAUUUCAAGUCAUCCCUCAUGGCAUAACCCUUAAGCAAGCAAGAGUCUCCCUACAGCAACGGAGGUUAUGAAGUGAUGUUAUUUGUUUGCGGUCAUUGCUUUUGCCUUCCUGUGACCACAAUACCAGACAAAACAAACUCAAGGGAGGAAAGAUUUACUUUGGCUCACAGUUUUCAAAGGUUUCAGUCUGUCACAGUGGGGAAAGCCGGUCAGAGCAGCUCAGUUCAUGGCAGCCAAGUGGUAGAGUCUGACUGUAUUAUGGCAGACAAGGAAGGCAUGGGGGGAGCAGGGUCGGUGUAUAACCUGCAAAAUCUUGCCCUGGUGACAUAUCUCCACUUGCUAGGGCUACAUAAGCUAUUUUCUGUGGCUGUGAUGAAAUACUCUGAAAAAGCAAUUUAAUGAAGGAAAGUUUUUUUUUUUUUUAUCUUGGUUCAUAGUUGCAAAGUACCAUCCAUCAUGGAGGGAACUCACAGUAGCACGAGCUUGAAGCAGCUAGUCACAUUGCAAUACAGUAGGGAGGCAGAGGGUGAUGAAUGCUGUUCAAUUGUGUAGCUCACAAUAGCAAGAUCUUCCCACCUCAGUUGACCUAGCCCCUACAGGCAUGGCCAGAGGCUGACCUAAUCUGAAUAAUCUCUCACAGGAAUGUGUGGAGGUUUAUCUCUUAAGUAAUACAUAUUCUUUGAAGUUGGCAGUCAACACUAUCACAUGCCUGUGGUGGUAUCAUGUUCCCCAAAAUAUUGUGUACCCUAAUAAACUUAUCUGGGGUCAGAGACAGAAUAGCCACUAGAUACAAAGGCUAGAAAAUGGUGGCACUCACACCUUUAAUCCUAGCAUUCCAGAGGUAGAAAUCCCUCUGGAUCUCUGUGAGUUCAAGGCCACAUUGGAAACAGCCAGGCAUGGUGACUCACGCCUUUAAUCCCAAGAAGUGAGCCUUUAAUCCCAGGGAAUGAUGGCAAAAACAGAAAGAUAUAUAAGGUGUGAAGACCAGAAACAAGAAGCUUUUAGCUGGUUAAGCUUCAGGCUUUCGAGGAGCAGUUCAGCUGAGAGUCAUUGGGAUUGAGGACACAGAAGCUUCCAGUCUGAGGAAACAGGAUCAGCUGAGAACUGGUGAGGUGAGGUAGCUGUGGCUUGUUCUGCUUCUCUGAUCUUCCAGCAUUCACCCUAAUACCUGGCUCUGGAUUUGAUUUUAUUAAUAAGAACUUUUAAGACUCAUGCUAAAACAAGCCCCUAUCUCCUAAAUGUUGACAGCCUUCCAAAUUAGCAUCACUAUCUAGGAGACAAGUGGAGACAUUUCAUAUUGGAACUAUAGCAUUAAGCUAAACCAGCAGUCAUUGGGAGGCUGAUGAAUGUCCUGGGGUGGGAGCAGAGACAGAACUCUUUCUUCCUUUACUAAAUCAGCUCUUAUCAGAAGAGUCAUCCCAGUGGAAACUGACAAGAGCCUGGGUUCUGGGUCACACUGGAUUCCAAGACUGGUUGCCUUGGGCCAGCCACCUUCAUACCCCAACUCUUGUCUUUAUCCACCUUUGACCACAGGAUCUAGUCACUAUGUUUAUGUAUGUGGACAGCCUCAGUUCCUGGACUCAUCAUUCUCACUUCUAGAGUGUGGGGUAAGGAGGCCGUUCUUCCCAGGGCUACUAGAGGAGAUUGCUCAGUGGGAAUCUUGGAAUGUUUUAGGGACUAGCCAGAGAGUUUGCAGCAUAGACAAUGGAUCCUUAAAAGGGGUGCAUGGGAAGGACCAAGCAGAAGAUGCUAGGUCAGAGACCUAGAGGCCUCAUUUGUGGCAAUGCUUUAGUUACCCAUAGGACAGUGGUCCAAAGUCACAACAAUGACAUUUCCAUUGAGACAGAAAAAGGGAAAUAGUGUUGCCAUCAUUUCUUCUCUAUGGUUGAGAUUUGAAAAAUAACACAAAACCAUCACUUUGGAUUGCACACAGUGUCAGUGUAACAGAGUAGGUAGGGCUUUUAUUCCAGCUUCCCUUGUCUGCCUAAAGACAGACUCUACCAGAAAGGAAUACAAUUAUACACAAACUCCUCUGUUAUUUCAUCAACCAAGGAAAAUUAAACUAUCAUCAGAGAAGAGAGUGAGGGAUGAGAGCCACACUGAAGAUUAGGUAAGUGUUCUUCCUCAACACUGUCUACCCUUCAGGAAUCCUCAUGUCCUGUGAAAGUCAUUUUCUCUUCCUCUAAAUGGCCUACAGCCUUCACUUCCAUUUUGCUAUAAGGAAGGGCAUAUACAAUUCUAAAUCUUAUAGGAUACUCACUUUUCAUUCUCAGGAUGCCUCCUUGGGUAUGCCUGGAACAAAGGUGAUUGUCUUUUUUUCUGCUAAUUUGUCUACUGUUUGAUUAUUUCUGAAAUUCAAAUGUCAACUUGACCUUCGGUCUCUAAUCUAUAUCUGUCCCAGCAGAUUCCCAAUCAACUAAAGACUGCAAACUGCUCCAAACUCACCAGCCCUAGGUUCUUCUGAUGGAAUUUCCAAAAAGGUGAGCUACAUCCUAGAGGGCUCCAAAGCAGCUAGCCCCAGGUGGUCCACCAUACUGACUGCUCCAAUGUGGCCUGGACUUCCCUGGCCCCGGAUGGUUCCACAGAGCCUGGACAGCAAAUGAAACAGCCUGCAUUCCCUUCUCUCUUUCUUCCUAGCCUUGUCCAGGAUUCUAGCUUUCUUGGGUCCCCAACAAAGAUGCUUCGGUGUCAGCAGGAAGUAAAUCAUAAAAAGAUCACACCACCCCUGAUCUGUUAUUGUCAACAAGAAGGCUAGGAUGCUAGGUCCCAAACCCAGGACAAAUGGCCAACUGAGGUGCCUAUAUAACAUAUCAAAGUGAACCUGGCCUCUAGGUUCUCCCAGCAUCCCUCAGUGCCUACUUGUUACAGUGUAUGGUUGGCAUACCUGCCCCCUACCCUAGACUUCUCCAGUCCAGAAACAGGGCUACUCUUUCCUAUAUAAUCCUGCCAUUUUGGUUAUCUGACCCUUUUUGUCUACCUUUUACCCUCCUUGGUCUCCUUGCUCUCCCCUCUCCUCUUCCUCCUCUUCUCACAUGGUAUGGCUCAGGGUCGUGUUCAUUCUGGACUCUCUGAGAUGUCCCUGCCUCUGGGGGGGGAUCUGCUAUGAUCUCUCUUCUAUCUACAAUAAACCUCCUCCACCAUA